AAUCAUGGAGGCAAUUGCUUAUAUAUUCCUAAAAAUUUUUCGAUACUAAGGACUUAUUUGGUUCAAGUGUGGAAUUGGAAUGAAUAAUAGAAUGAAAAUGAAUUGGAAUGACAAUUGAAUUGCCCUCACUCUUCCAAGAUGUUUGGUUUAUUUAUGGAUUGGAAAUCGGAAUGAAUUAUUCCUAUUUCACUAUUUUGCUUGAUACAAAGUAAAAAAUAAUAGAAUAACAUAAUACUAAUUUUACUUUUAAAUAUAAUUUUAUAAAACUAUCUAAAAUUUAUAAAAAAAAAUUAAUACUAUUCUCAAGUUAGAGCUAUGCCCAAAAAAAAAAAAAAUUUAUUUUAAAAUUUUUUAUGCAAGAAAUUACAAAAAAAAAAAGCCUUUUUUUUAAUGAUGAGAAAAGAAGGAAGAGAUCGAUACAAGAAGAGAAAAAAUGGAUAAGAUGGAGAAACGUUGGGCUGAGCAUGAGAAAGAGGUGAGUGUGGGCUUGGGAUUGAAACUUCAAUCUAGGUUUGGAGACCAGAAUCAAUUUGUAAGCUAAUGGACUAUUCCCAUUCCGAUCUGGAAUGGGAGUCCCAAACAGAUUCUUAUAAACCAAACAAAAUUAGCAGGAUUUGAUCAAACUGAUUCUCAUUCCGGAUUCAAAAUGUACGAACCAAACAUGCCCUAAUAUUAAAAAUACUCUUUUAACGUACCAAGUUAUUUCCAAUAUAUUCCUAAAAUUAAUUUGAAACAGUCGUUAUCUCUAUAAAAUUACUAUUUUUCACUUCUAAAUAUAUUCUUCUAACUUUACCAACUUUUCUUAUUUGUUCUUAUUAGUUAGGGAUAAAAGAAGUAAUUUGACUUUUAAUCUUUUCAAAUAUACUCUUCUAUCAUCACCAACUUUUUUUAUUUGUUUUUUAAGUUAGGGGCAGAAGAGGUAUUUUAAUUUGUUUUAACUCUACUAGAAAUUUAAUUUGUGUUUAAUCCGAGAUGACCUAACGGAAAUUAACAACGGAAUUAUUUUUGAAUAACGGAGAAAUAUAUCAGGAGUAUAUUUGAAAUAAAAAAAUGAUAGGAGCAUAUAAGAUAUUUCAAAAGUUUUAAGGAAUAUAUUAGAUAUUAUCCCAAA
rnacentral:lncRNA from 1 species